rnacentral:rRNA from 1 species
GAUGAACGCUGGCGGCGUGCCUAAUACAUGCAAGUCGAGCGAACAGACGAGGAGCUUGCUCCUCUGACGUUAGCGGCGGACGGGUGAGUAACACGUGGAUAACCUACCUAUAAGACUUGGAUAACUUCGGGAAACCGGAGCUAAUACCGGAUAAUAUAUUGAACCGCAUGGUUCAAUAGUGAAAGACGGUUUUGCUGUCACUUAUAGAUUGAUCCGCGCCGCAUUAGCUAGUUGGUAAGGUAACGGCUUACCAAGGCAACGAUGCGUAGCCGACCUGAGAGGGUGAUCGGCCACACGGGAACUGAGACACGGUCCAGGCGCCUACGGGAGGCAGCAGUAGGGAAUCUUCCGCAAUGGGCGAAAGCUUGACGGAGCAACGCCGCGUGAGUGAUGAAGGUCUUCGGAUCGUAAAGCUCUGUUAUUAGGGAAGAACAAAUGUGGAAGUAACUAUGCACGUCUUGACGGUACCUAAUCAGAAAGCCACGGCUAACUACGUG